AUGGGCCAGGAGACAGAGCACUCUGGGAAAGGAGAAGGAGAGAUGAGAGGUGCAGUGACUGCCAAUCAGCUGAAACGCAGCAAGAGCCUUAAUAAGUACAGCGGGCUAUUUACCGAGCACCGGGAGCAGAGUGACGGAUGGGUCAUAAACGCAUACCUUUCGGAUCCAUCAUAUGGAGAUUUUCUUGUGAUCGCACGAGGGCUGCCUUUAUUUGCUCUCCCAAGAACUACGGGGCAUAAGUGUCAGGCCCGAGAUGAGAUCCACGGAAGAAACCAACACUGUCUUGAAUCACAUUAUUUACAAAGCAGCAGGCUGGCUUGUUAUCCGCUGGCGUGAGGUGGACUGUGACAGCGUGAUAAUCCGUGCAGAUAUGUGCCGCUGACCCCGAGAUGUUCCUGCCUGCUGAGAAUUCUGGGGGAACUCGGCCGUCUCCCACUCUCUCUUUCUCUCUCUCUCUCUCCGGCCUUGUUUUUCUUCUGCUACAAAUAUUCCAGCGGACAUAUGCUUCCCCAGUUCACUGCAGAGCUUAUGGUGUUUGUUAGGCCUACACAUUUGGGCUCAAGGUGUAUGAAAGUGAUUUAAUCUUCCGCUCUGGAAGCUUCAUUACCUGGGUCACAGUCCGACUCUGGGGCUGCGAGGUGUGAUGCUGGAUCUCCGGCAGGUGUGUGAAGAACCGGAGCGUCAAUGACACCAGGCUCACUCACUUCAUCUGACACAAACUGGCACUGCUCCCGUCUUGAGAAAUCUGCAUCCAUGCGACAAAUCUGAAGAAAAACAAUGAAAAUUAUUUCAGUCCCACUUUAUUUGUCUUUCAUGUAGUAUCACAAACAUUUUCAUUAAAACUUACCACUGACAGAAAC
ensembl:lncRNA